UCUCCCAUGGCGCCCCAUUCCCCUGUUGUAUCCUCUUCUUCCUCCUCUCCCUCGCCUCUCCAAUGGCCAUGGCAUCCUCUCUCUCUCCCCGGCCCCCUAAUGCCAAUCGGGAAGGAAACUGUACUAGGCCUGCUUUCCCCUCUUCUCCGGCGUCUCCUUCGGCUCGGCUUCUUCAGAUCUCCAGAUCAACCAAGAGGAUCGAAUCCUCUUCUUCGUUAGGUCAUGUCGCUCCAGCUCAAAUGUCUUGAGCCGAGGCUCCUCAUUGUCUCCAUGCUCGCCUAUUUGCUUACAAGAAAACAGGAGGUCCUGCCCCUUAUCUCUGCCAGCUCCUCCCGCUCUCUACUCUAGAUUCACCAAGGUCUGCCCGGUACCC